UUUACGUUCGCGGGGCCGUGGGGUUUCGCUCCUCGCCUGGCGGCGCGGCUGCUGUCCGGCUCUGUGCUCAGUUCCCUUUUUUUUUUUUUUUUUUUUUUGGAGGGCCGCGUUCAUUCAUGGAUGAGGCGGGAAAGCGCUCCCUCCUGCAACAAUGUGCGCAACCCCACGCCCACGCGAGGCCGAGCCUGUGCGUACUCAUGCCCAAGGCACCGCUGGGAGAAGGCGGCCAAAGUUUCCCUGAAAAGAAGACGGCGGGGGUUGGGAUUCCUUUCCUUUAGAAAAUAAACGAGCUGUUUGUGCCCCUGGGAAUGCCUUGAGCUCCCGGGCUCCUGGAAAGUGCAGCCAAGCUGGCUGCCCUUCCCUGCCUGCGGGGCAGCCAGGGACUCUCCUCCGCCUCUCCGGGAGAGGAAACGGGGCAGGGACGCCAGCGGACCCACACGCACCUCCGGCUCUCCCCGGCCACCGAAUCCCCUUGAGGAAACCACAUCUGUGCGUCUUGGCCCCUUCCCCGUGCCCAGCCGCGUUCAAAGGAAGCCCCGUGCUGGUCCCGCAUUUCCUGGGCCAGGCUCCAGGUUCCCCCUCCUCUGCCUCUCGCGGGGGGAAAACUCGCAGGAUUUGGCCCACGGCUGCCAAAAGGGGGGCGAGAGGCUCUAGGGGGAGCUCAAGGGGGAGAGAGACCCGCCGGUCCCCUCCCUUCUCUCCCCCACGGGAGACGAGCCAGUGCUCCCGGCUAGUGUGGCCGCCGUGGGGGUUUCAGUGAUGCUGCAAGGCAAGGAAUGGGAAUAAAUGAUCCCCGGGUUUUAAAAGCGGCUGCUCGAUGGUUUUAUUGCACAGUAAAAACUUCAUGCAAAGUA